GAGACUCUGUGCGCGUGCAUAUCAAUAAGCGGAGGAAAAGAGACUAACAAGGAUUCCCUUAGUAACGGCGAGUGAAGCGGGAAGAGCUCAAAUUUGAAAUCUUCAAGGUUCUACCUUGACGAAUUGUAGUUUAAAGAAGUGUUUUCUGUUAGAUGAGUAGCAAAAGUUCCUUGGAAUGGGACAUCAUAGAGGGUGAGAAUCCCGUAUUUGGUUAUUCAUUCUAGCUUUGUGAUACACUUUCAAAGAGUCGGAUUGUUUGGGAAUGCAGUCCAAAAUGGGUGGUAAAUUUCAUCUAAAGCUAAAUAUUGGCGAGAGACCGAUAGCGAACAAGUACCGUGAGGGAAAGAUGAAAAGAACUUUGAAAAGAGAGUUAAACAGUACGUGAAAUUGUCAAAAGGGAAGCGUUUGACACCAGUGUUGUUUUUCCGAAAAUCAAUUACGAAUGGCUUGAUUUUGUGUUGUAUUGACCUUAUCAGCUUUCUGCACUUUUUUCGAGUCUUUCUUAAUGCACUUUUCGGUUAACAAGUCAACAUCAAUUUCUUCUGUUGUAAAAGAGUAUUCGGAAGGUGGCUUUCUUUUCGGAGAAAGUGUUUAUAGCCCUAUACUUCUACAAUCGGAGAGAUUGAGGUCUGCAGCGUAGAUCCUUCGGGGUUAGAUACAUUUGUGCUAAGUUGUAGGCUUUUCAUAGACAACUUGUUGACUAUGUUUAGUCAUGCGGCUUACUCGCUUAUGCUAUUUUACCUACGCUUAGGAUGUUGACUGAUAUGUAGUCGUA
rnacentral:rRNA from 1 species